CCCAGUCAAGGUACUUGAUGCUUUACAAAUUCGGAGUGCAGACCAAGCAUGUAUCUGCUGUCCCAAGCGCUUCUGCCUCCUGACCGGGUCCUGAUAAGACCUCGCUUAAAUACACAUCUGAGCAAGGAUUCAGCUGAACACGGGAGCUCCUCAAUUGAAUAAUGCCCAGUUAUCUUCAGGCGACUUUCAUAUCACCUUGCAUUUGAACAUGGACUUCUUCAGUAUUUGAUGAGUCACAAAUGGUGCUGAACAUUGUGCAACCAUUGACAAGCACCCCAUCUCUGAUCUUAUGAGGGAGGGAAGAUCAUAGAUGAAGCAGCAACAAGCAGAGAUGCCUAAGAGCUGCAAGCUGACCAAUCAGAGCACAAUGUAGAAGAGGAGGAAGAGACUGAUUGAAUAAAUAUUUUAACUUGUCCUUGUAAUUGCAACCAGCUCUCAGAAACUAACAAUGUCCGUUCUAUAGAGGAUAGCUUAAAGGUGUGAUCUGAGGAUGUUGAAUCUGAUCUGUAACCAGCAUUGGAGAGAAUGGUGGUCCCACUUCCCAGCUCAACAGAGGGCAAGAUUUUACAUGGUUCUGCUCUGGACUCAUAUGAGGUUUAGCACGUAGAGCUAGGCUUGCCAAAGAGUCUGCAGUCCCUGGAAUAGAGCAUAGAGGAGUCUGGCUCCAUCAUACUUGGCACAGAGACUUGUAGCCUAUCCAUUCUCACGUGGAGUUGGUGAUUCACUCCAUUAGCACUUCCACAGAAAUACCCAUGAUGCAGCAUUUGAUAGCCCUUGCCUCAGCUUCCACUGCAGCUCAAGCAGAACCAGGCAACAACUGAGCACUGCAAUGGAAGCCCAGCAGGAGACUAUCCACAUGCAACUUGUUACCAUGACCAUCCAACUUGCUGACACACUUGCUCACAUUGCUGCUCUGUCUAUUCUAAGGGCCUAAUAGGAUCUCAUAAAAGCCUGGCAGGUUGCCUCCAACAUAUUGCUAGGCUUGCUAAGGUGCUACUCCAUGCAGCACGAACUUGCUGGCAUUUCUCUUGAGAUGAUAGCAUUUCUCCUGCUACCACCAUAACUCUGCAGUGUGAGUAGUUGUCUGUCCACCAAUUAGCACAAACAUGCUACCAUCCAUGCAACCUAAACCUGACCCUUCCAGUGCCAGGACUGCUCAAAGUAACAUAUUGCAAGACAAUCUGUAGUCGUCCCACCUUCCACCAUUCCUGUUGUUGCUCUUGGGGUAGGACUGCAUAACUUCACUAGGACAAAGGCAUAUGAACAAAUCAUGUUCAUUAGU